UGCAGCCUACGGGACGCAGCAGUGGGGGAUAUUGGACAAUGGGGGAAACCCUGAUCCAGCGAUGCCGCGUGAGGGAAGAAGGUUUUCGGAUUGUAAACCUCUGUGGAGGGGGACGAUAAUGACGGUACCCCUUUAGGAAGCCACGGCUAACUACGUGCCAGCAGCCGCGGUAAUACGUAGGUGGCGAGCGUUGUCCGGAAUUACUGGGUGUAAGGGGAGUGUAGGCGGGCAAGCAAUUCAGAAGUGAAAACUAUGGGCUUAACCCAUAGCCUUCUUUU
rnacentral:rRNA from 1 species